CACAUGACUCUCGGCAACGGAUAUCUCGGCUCUCGCAUCGAUGAAGAACGUAGCAAAAUGCGAUACCUGGUGUGAAUUGCAGAAUCCCGUGAACCAUCGAGUUUUUGAACGCAAGUUGCGCCUGAUGCCUUAUGGCUGAGGGCACGUCUGCCUGGGCGUCACGU
rnacentral:rRNA from 1 species